GAUUGACGCUAUGCGACCCAAGGCUGGAGACCGUCUUUAGCAAAGAUGGCUGACAAAAAUACUGGGACGGAGGGAAGUGAUGGCUUCCUGAUAUUCCCCCAAGCAGCUGAUUGGUCAGCCCCAUUGAUGAUUGGAGCUGACCCCGCCCUCUUGUCAGAAACAGCAGUCUUCAAUUACCGACUCCUUCUGAAGCUAUAUAAGCCAGUGUUCUGUUGCUCAGAAGAGCGAUGAUUAGUGUGUUCUGUGUUGAUUGUUGUUAUUAAGAGAGCUGAGGGUGAUAGGCUAUGUUGGUUGUUUCUUAGAAAGAGUUUAUUGUUAUAUCCUGUAUUGGUUGUUGCUCAGAGAGAGCUUCUUUGACAUCUUGUGUUGGUUGUUGCUCAUAUAGUUUGUGUAUAGUAUUUUCUAGCCGGUUCUGCAAAGGUAUGUGCAUGCCAAAAGGUCCGUUAUGAUUAGUAAUUAUUCUGUUUUUGUUCCCGGGGGGCACACCACACCACACCACACCACACCACACCACCUAGGGAGUGCUUAGGCAAGAGGCCUGCGGGCAUACAUAACCUGUAGUAUUCACUGUCUACGCACACUAGGUAAGGCCUGGUCGGACUACCCCCUGUAUUUUGGUUAGUGCACCAGGUGGUGCUGAGUUAGGUAAGUAGUGGGUAGGCAGGUAAGGUAGGAGCUGGGGCUUUGACAUUGAGUUUCUUUGUUUUGGUUCUGUCCAGCCCCUUUUCCCCAAAUUUACAGUGUGAAGGAAUCAAUAAAUUCCCUGUAAGUGGUA